CACCGCCCGUCGCUACUACCGAUUGGAUGGCUUAGUGAGAUUUUUGGAUUGUUGAGCGAUUGCAGCAAUGUGAACGCCCGACGAGAAAUUGAUCAAACUUGGUCAUCUAGAGGAAGUAAAAGUCGUAACAAGGUUUCCGUAGGUGAACCUGCGGAAG
rfam:Allomyces macrogynus ATCC 38327 genomic scaffold supercont3.15, whole genome shotgun sequence.